UAUCAUGACAUUAGAAUUUAGGUUGUAAAAGGUGGAAGGGGAAGAUUGGAUCCUCAUUGCAACGCUGUAUGAUUUGUUGAUAGGAGAUCGUUCAUUGCUCAGUGGAGUCUUCUUGAUCGUAACUUCUAGUCAACGCGACGAAGGAACACAAGCUUGUAAGAUCACCAAAG